AAGUCGAACGGCAGCACAGUAGAGCUUGCUCUAUGGGUGGCGAGUGGCGGACGGGUGAGUAAUGCAUCGGGAUCUACCCAAACGUGGGGGAUAACGUAGGGAAACUUACGCUAAUACCGCAUACGUCCUACGGGAGAAAGCGGGGGACCGAAAGGCCUCGCGCGGUUGGACGAACCGAUGUGCGAUUAGCUAGUUGGUAGGGUAAUGGCCUACCAAGGCGACGAUCGCUAGCUGGUCUGAGAGGAUGAUCAGCCACACUGGAACUGAGACACGGUCCAGACUCCUACGGGAGGCAGCAGUGGGGAAUAUUGGACAAUGGGCGCAAGCCUGAUCCAGCAAUGCCGCGUGUGUGAAGAAGGCCUUCGGGUUGUAAAGCACUUUUAUCAGGAGCGAAAUACCAUUGGCUAAUAACCGAUGGGGCUGACGGUACCUGAGGAAUAAGCACCGGCUAACUUCGUGCCAGCAGCCGCGGUAAUACGAAGGGUGCAAGCGUUAAUCGGAAUUACUGGGCGUAAAGCGUGCGUAGGCGGUUAUUUAAGUCUGUUGUGAAAUCCCCGGGCUCAACCUGGGAAUGGCAAUGGAUACUGGAUAGCUAGAGUGUGAUAGAGGAUGGUGGAAUUCCCGGUGUAGCGGUGAAAUGCGUAGAGAUCGGGAGGAACAUCAGUGGCGAAGGCGGCCAUCUGGAUCAACACUGACGCUGAGGCACGAAAGCGUGGGGAGCAAACAGGA
rnacentral:rRNA from 1 species